rnacentral:rRNA from 1 species
UACGUAGGGGGCAAGCGUUGUCCGGAAUCAUUGGGCGUAAAGAGCGCGUAGGCGGUCCGGUAAGUCCGCUCUGAAAGUCCGGGGCUCAACCCCGGGAGGCGGGCGGAUACUGUCGGGCUAGAGUCCGGAAGAGGCGAGUGGAAUUCCUGGUGUAGCGGUGAAAUGCGCAGAUAUCAGGAGGAACACCAAUGGCGAAGGCAGCUCGCUGGGACGGUACUGACGCUGAGGCGCGAAAGCGUGGGGAGCAAACAGGAUUAGAUACCCGUGGGUAGUCCG